GGCAGGGAUAAAUUUGGAUUUUAUGUCCGAAAAGUGGGAGUUGAAAGAUGCCUUGCGUAUUCUACAGUCUCGAUGGUCUAUUAUAGAUUCCUUACAUUGGGAACUAGACAGCGAAUUAGAGGGUACGAAUCAAGAAUAUGAGGUGUCUUAUACGAAGCAAGAAACUAUUUACAAUGAAUUAAAAAAUGCAAUUAAUAGAAAACUAGGGUCAGUAGUUCACAAAGAGAAUUGGACGCCAAAAAUCGACAUCCCGUUCUUCAGUGGCAAUUAUCAAAAUUGGGUGUCUUUCAAGGACUUGUUUACUGAAGCUAUCCACAGUAACAUCUCCUUAUCAAACGCCCACAAGAUGCAGUUUCUUAAAAGCAAGGUGCGAGGAGAAGCUGAACGUUUGAUACAGCAUUUACAAAUCAGUUCUGACAAUUACAAUGUCUGCUGGGAGAUAUUGAACAAUAGAUCAAGAAAAUUCACGAUACCACUCUAGAGUGUUUAAACUCAAUAAGGAACCUAGGCGUUAACAUAGACAGCUGGGAUCCAUUCAUCGUGCGUAUUUUAU